GUGACUGCGUACCUUUUGUAUAAUGGGUCAGCGACUUAUAUUCUGUAGCAAGGUUAACCGAAUAGGGGAGCCGUAGGGAAACCGAGUCUUAACUGGGCGUUAAGUUGCAGGGUAUAGACCCGAAACCCGGUGAUCUAGCCAUGGGCAGGUUGAAGGUUGGGUAACACUAACUGGAGGACCGAACCGACUAAUGUUGAAAAAUUAGCGGAUGACCUGUGGCUGGGGGUGAAAGGCCAAUCAAACCGGGAGAUAGCUGGUUCUCCCCGAAAGCUAUUUAGGUAGCGCCUCGUGAAUUCAUCUCCGGGGGUAGAGCACUGUUUCGGCUAGGGGGCCAUCCCGGCUUACCAACCCGAUGCAAACUGCGAAUACCGGAGAAUGUUAUCACGGGAGACACACGGCGGGUGCUAACGUCCGUCGUGAAGAGGGAAACAACCCAGACCGCCAGCUAAGGUCCCAAAGUCAUGGUUAAGUGGGAAACGAUGUGGGAAGGCCCAGACAGCCAGGAUGUUGGCUUAGAAGCAGCCAUCAUUUAAAGAAAGCGUAAUAGCUCACUGGUCGAGUCGGCCUGCGCGGAAGAUGUAACGGGGCUAAACCAUGCACCGAAGCUGCGGCAGCGACACUGUGUGUUGUUGGGUAGGGGAGCGUUCUGUAAGCCUGUGAAGGUGGCCUGUGAGGGUUGCUGGAGGUAUCAGAAGUGCGAAUGCUGACAUAAGUAACGAUAAAGCGGGUGAAAAGCCCGCUCGCCGGAAGACCAAGGGUUCCUGUCCAACGUUAAUCGGGGCAGGGUGAGUCGACCCCUAAGGCGAGGCCGAAAGGCGUAGUCGAUGGGAAACGGGUUAAUAUUCCCGUACUUGGUGUUACUGCGAAGGGGGGACGGAGAAGGCUAUGUUGGCCGGGCGACGGUUGUCCCGGUUUAAGCGUGUAGG
rnacentral:rRNA from 1 species